rnacentral:misc_RNA from 1 species
GUACUCUCACACUCUCGGAUUGUUUCGAUUCGGGAGCGGUGGACUUGGGUGUUGCUGCUGCUUACCUGCGGCUGGCUCGCCUCAAAUGCGUCAGUGCAUCUCUUGGUUGGACAUAGUACGGCGUGAUAAGUGUCUUCGCCGGCGCCUCGCAAGAGGGUGGCCGAUCGAGAGCUCUGUGCCCUCGAACCGUCCGUGGACUCGGACACUGUCUGACA